UCUUAAAAAAAAAAUUCGGCAAGUUAUGUUUUCUAUCCGUGUGUUUAUGGGCCCAUUUUCUGUUUUCUUUUAUAUUCCUACGGGCCUUGCGAAUAUUUGAACAAGACCCAUUAAGUUUUAGGGUUUCCUCAUGAGUCUUCCACCUUUCGCUGCAAGCAGCGGCGCGCCUCUUUGGAUCUCCGUCAACGACAGUGUAACGGCUGACGUUUGCAUAUUCAUCUGUCGUAAUAAAUUAAGCAUUUACGUCCGCCCCACUCCUAUCACUUUCUUAGGCAUUAAAUGUCAUCCUCACAGUCAAAGAUAAGCUUUACUCUGUCAACGGCGAGCUUUAUCAAUGGCGAAUUCGUACAUUCUUCUUGCUGACUUGAAAGCUGAACUUCGUUACUGUGGAUGUCAGGCCACUGAGGUUCUAGGAGGCAAGAAACUCAAUAAAGGCUCUAUGUGACUAAAAAAGUGAUAGCUCUGUUCUCAGUUAAGGCUCUGUUUUCUCCAUUUCUGGUUUUGACGUGGCACGGAGCAACAACAAUUUCCGAUUGUCUGACGCCCUGCCAAUCGUCCAAUGAAGAAACCACAAGGAGAAACAGCCUCUCACGAUGCCGACGACCAACUCCAGACACCGGACAGGGUAAAAAAGAAAAAAGAAAAAAAAAAAAAAAGCUUGAGAUGAUGAAUGGACAAUUAGUCACAGGGCGUGUUCAUCUUUGGUGACAAGGUGUACAACAAUCUUUCUCCAAUAUUUCUGUCUAUGAUCUAUGUUUAUUUCUUCUAUCAAUUUUUUUCUUUCAGUUUUGGCAAUCAUUGUUUGUAGGGUCUGAUUAGAGAACUCAGCUUCAGCUUGGUAACUCAGGAAAUUAAAGUUGUGUGUUGUCAUUAUACUACAUCUUUGGAAUUCUGUUCAUUGGCGUAAUUUUCUCUUACUCGGUGAUGAUAUCACGGUAUGUAGGAAAAAUGGGGGACAAGAAAAUGAAUGUACGGCUUCAUUGCAGGCUCUCCGUGUAGAUAAUGUUGAAGUCUCUGAAUAAGCCAACAAUAUCAAAGUAUGACCUACUACCCAGUGUUGUACCCGAAGCUCUUUAUUAGUCUUCACAAGCCAUUUUAGAUGACUUCUCUCGAAUGCCCCACCACUUGAGAAACGUCAAGUGAUCCUCAUGUUCAUGUUUAUUAGUCUCAAUUUUAUUUUUAAUGACCUUAAGGUGGAUAUUUUGUAGCUAUGAAAACGUUCAUGUUCUUUUCGUUUGGUAACGGAUUCGUCUAAAACCGAUACCAACUGAGCAGAUUCGCUUCUGUAACCACGACCAGCUUAUGGCAUUGGCAAAUACCACAACAGCUACCUCGUUUUGUUCUAAUCCUCUACAUGUAACUCUUGCUUACGAUUCUAACUGCUAUAUUUACACAACUAUACUUUUAAAAUUGUCAGACAUCCAAGGUGAGCUCAGUGCAUCCAUAUUUCCCUACGUCCUGCCAGUACGUAUAAAUAUUGUGCAAAAUGUUGUUAAAGACAAUCUUCUUAUUUUAAUAAAAUUUCGAUAUGGGUG